AGCCCCGUCGCCAAGCGGCCGAAGGCACCGGAUUUUGAUUCCGGUAUUCGCAGGUUCGAAUCCUGCCGGGGUUGCCA
rnacentral:tRNA from 1 species